rnacentral:rRNA from 1 species
AUUGAACGCUGGCGGCAGGCCUAACACAUGCAAGUCGAACGGUAGCACAGAGAGCUGGCUCUCGUGUGACGAGUGGCGGACGGGUGAGUAAUGUCUGGGAAACUGCCCGAUGGAGGGGGAGAACUACGGGAGACGGUAUCUAAUACCGCACAAUGUCGCAAGACCAAAGAGGGGGACCUUCGGGCCGCGUUCCAUCGGAUGUGCCCAGGUGGGAUUAGCUAGUUGGUGAGGUAAUGGCUCACCAAGGCGACGAUCCCUAGCUGGUCUGAGAGGAUGACCAGCCACACUGGAACUGAGACACGGUCCAGACUCCUACGGGAGGCAGCAGUGGGGAAUAUUGCACAAUGGGCGCAAGCCUGAUGCAGCCAUGCCGCGUGUGUGAAGAAGGCCUUCGGGUUGUAAAGUACUUUCGUCGGGGAGGAAAGCAAUGCGGUUAAUACCCGUGUUGAUUGACGUUACCCGAAGAAUAAGCACCGGCUAACUCCGUG